GAUGAACGCUGGCGGCGUGCCUAAUACAUGCAAGUCGAACGAGGAGCCAUUGUAUUCGUACUAUGGUUUCCUAGUGGCGAACGGGUGAGUAACGCGUUGGUGACCUGCCCCGAAGAGAGGGAUAACAGCUCGAAAGAGCUGCUAAUACCUCAUGUGGACCCAGAGGUUAGAGGCUUUGUGUCUAAAGGAGCAAUCCGCUUCGGGAGGGGCCUGCGUCCCAUCAGCUAGUUGGUAAGGUAACGGCCUACCAAGGCGAUGACGGGUAGGGGACCUGAGAGGGUGGUCCCCCACACUGGCACUGAAACACGGGCCAGACACCUACGGGUGGCAGCAGUAGGGAAUAUUGCACAAUGGGCGAAAGCCUGAUGCAGCAACGCCGCGUGCGCGAAGAAGGCCUUCGGGUUGUAAAGCGCUUUUCUGGAGGAAGAGGAAGGACGGUACUCCAGGAAUAAGGAUCGGCUAACUACGUG
rnacentral:rRNA from 1 species